rnacentral:lncRNA from 1 species
AAGUGUUGAGUUUUGAUUGCAAGUUGGUAGUUGAUUUUGUGCUUUACCUGUCAUAUAGUCACUGUGUGAGGCUUGUUGCGUGGAAAUUCAAACUUUUGUUUACAUACCUUCGUGUUGCAUUGAUUUUCCUGUUAGAACACCUGGACUUGACCCGUUCGAACAUUCCCUUGAUCUAAGAUCGUGAAUCUUACGAAACCCUGGGAAUCUAGAACGGUGUAUAUUGCGGCCGUAGGAUAACUUUGUGUGACCUAUCUGUG